ensembl:lncRNA
GGAGGUAGGAGGGGUGUCUGUCUGUCUGUCUGGAGGUAGGAGGGGGGUCUGUCUGUCUGCCUGUCUAGUGAUCUACCAGAUCUGUAUGGAGGUAGGAGGGGUGUCUGUCUGUCUGUCUGUCUGUCUAGUGAUCUACCAGAUCUGUCUGGAGGUAGGAGGGGUGUCUGUCUGUCUGCCUGUCUAGUGAUCUACCAGAUCUGUCUGGAGGUAGGAGGGGUGUCUGUCUGUCUGUCUGUCUAGUGAUCUACCAGAUCUGUCUGGAGGUAGGAGGGGUGUCUGUCUGUCUGCCUGUCUGUCUAGUGAUCUACCAGAUCUGUCUGGAGGUAGGAGGGGUGUCUGUCUGUCUGUCUGUCUGUCUAGUGAUCUACCAGAUCUGUAUGGAGGUAGGAGGGGUGUCUGUCUGUCUGUCUGUCUGUCUAGUGAUCUACCAGAUCUGUCUGGAGGUAGGAGGGGUGUCUGUCUGUCUGCCUGUCUGUCUAGUGAUCUACCAGAUCUGUCUGGAGGUAGGAGGGGUGUCUGUCUGUCUGUCUGUCUAGUGAUCUACCAGAUCUGUCUGGAGGUAGGAGGGGUGUCUGUCUGUCUGCCUGUCUAGUGAUCUACCAGAUCUGUCUGGAGGUAGGAGGGGUGUCUGUCUGUCUGUCUGCCUGUCUAGUGAUCUACCAGAUCUGUCUGGAGGUAGGAGGGGUGUCUGUCUGUCUGUCUGUCU